rnacentral:lncRNA from 10 species
GCUGCAUUGAGCACUGAGCUGCCAGGAUAAGCUCCAGCUUCCUGCACCUCUGAACUGGAAUAAGUUGAUGGAGUCUCACUCUAUUGCCAGGCUAAGGCGCAGUGGCACAAUCUUGGCUCACCGCAACCUUCGCCUCCUGGCUUCAAGCAAUUCGCCUGCCUCAGCCUCCUGAGUAGCCGGGACUACAGGCAUGUACCACCACGCCCAGCUAAUUUUUGUAUUUUUAGUAGAGAUGGGGUUUCAUCAUGUUGGCCAGGAUGGUCUCGAUCUCUUGACCUCAUGAUCUGCUCGUCUUAGCCUCCCAAAGUGCUGGGAUUACAGGCGAGAGCCACCACGCCCGACCAUAUGAAUAUAGUGUGUCCACUUAUUCCAGUUCAGUGUUGAAGAUGGCUGGAGCCCAUCCCAGUAGCUCAGGGCAGAAGGCAGGAACCAACCCUGGAAAUUACCACUGAUGAAUUUUAAUGAUGUAUUAAAGAAGACCCUCCACCAG